AAACUUCUGGGCUCAAGAGAUACUCCUGCCUCAUCCUCUCAGAGUGCUGGGAUUACAGGCCUGAGCCACCAUGACCGGCAUGAAGUUAUUUAAUGGCAAAAUACAGUCAACCAAGAAGUAAAUCAAAAUAAGAAACACAGGAAUAGGUAAAAUCAUUUCAGCACAUCCACAAGUGUGCCAUAUGUUCCUUGGUGUAUGAAGUGACACAUGUAGGAUAUGGUGUUGCUGUUCCAAUGUGGUUCUCUAAUUCUGGUUACUCCAUUGUAGCCCUUGAAACUAAUAUGUGUCAAGUUUUUAUUUUCCACACUAUUUGUCAUCGAAUAUUAGUGUAACUUUUCUCAAAAAUGUUACUCAACAACAUGCCUGUAUAUACCUCACCUCUUCUUUCUCCAACAUCUUAGUAAAGCUGUUUGGUGAUUGACUGUGGCUCUCCCCAUAAAGAGAUCAUCUCUAGACUGCCUUUUGGUUAAUAAAUAAGACAAAAUUACUUAGACCUAAUUUGAGAAUCAAGGAUUCCCUCUGACCAUUAUUUUGUAUAAUGCCUCUUUCUUUCACCUAACAUUUACCCCUCACUGCCUUGUUUUGCGCACCUUCUUGGUUGUAGCCCUACCAAACAUUGGCAUUGGGGAUUCGAUUGGAGUGGAACGUACGGAUUUCAUGGAAGUGCUGAAAAGAGGAACUAACAAGGGAACAUCAUUGAUCUAUGUAGCAUGGGGUAGGGACAUGAAUUGAUAACUUGGCUUUCAGAACCAAACCCAAGAGUCUUAAUUAUGAGAGAAAAUGCUCUGCUGUGGUUCUCCAAAAUGGUUGGAAGCACCUGUAAUUUAACUGACUGCAGAAUUUGCCUUUUCCUACUAGGUGGCUUUGAAAAUAAUUUUGUCACCUGAAGUUAAUGUAUUUUUCAGCAAUAACCAUAGGGCAUGUUCCCCAUUCUUGCAUCUCUUAUAAAAACAGCUAAUCUUUAGAUAACUUCUCUAAUCCCAUUCUUACCACUGUCAUAGAAGCAUGCCAUCUGGUUAGAGUCAUGGGCAAAUUGGACAGGAUAUAUUGAUUUUCCUCUGGUAGUCCCUAUAGAAAUUUUGUCGAACUGGACUGUGCACCCUGACUUUCAAACUUGGUGGAAGAUUGUAUUUAAACACUGUUACUUCGCACCUUGAAAUAUGCGUAGGUCCCAUGUGUACAAGGGGAUACAAUAAUAAACAUGUUAAGUGAAAAAAAA